rnacentral:rRNA from 1 species
GAUGAACGCUGGCGGCGUGCUUAACACAUGCCAGUCGAACGAAGCAUUUAGGACAGAUUACUUCGGUUUGAAGUUCUUUAUGACUGAGUGGCGGACGGGUGAGUAACGCGUGGGUAACCUGCCUUGUACUGGGGGAUAGCAGCUGGAAACGGCUGGUAAUACCGCAUAAGCGCACAAUGUUGCAUGACAUGGUGUGAAAAACUCCGGUGGUAUAAGAUGGACCCGCGUCUGAUUAGCUAGUUGGUGAGAUAACAGCCCACAAAGGCGACGAUCAGUAGCCGACCUGAGAGGGUGACCGACAACAUUGGGACUGAGACACGUCCCAGACUCCUACGGAAGGCAGCAGGGGGGAAUAUUGCACAAUGGAGGAAAGACUGAUGCAGCGAGGCCGCGUGAGUGAAGAAGUAAUUCGUUAGGUAAAGCACUAUCAGCAGGGAAGAUAGUGACUGUACCAGACUAUGAGGCUCCGCCAAAAUACGU